rnacentral:sRNA from 1 species
AUUUCGCUGAGUCCUUGAAUGAAAAAGGAACGGGGGAACCAAUCGGGAGACGCGAUUUCGCGCGUCUCUCCGGGGUGAAUCCCAUAGGCUAGAUAACGGUCUAUGGGUAGGGCGACUCUCACGCCCGAAUCCGUCAGCUAACCUCGUAAGCGUAUCGAGAGAGG